UACGAGGGGGGCGAGCGUUGUUCGGAAUUAUUGGGCGUAAAGGGCGCGUAGGCGGUGCGGUAAGUCACCUGUGAAACCUCUAGGCUUAACCUAGAGCCUGCAGGCGAAACUGCCGUGCUGGAGUGUGGGAGAGGUGCGUGGAAUUCCCGGUGUAGCGGUGAAAUGCGUAGAGAUGUGGAGGAACACCAGUGGCGAAGGCGACUCUUUGGUCUGUAACUGACGCUGAGGCGCGAAAGCGUGGGAGCAAACAGG
rnacentral:rRNA from 1 species